rnacentral:rRNA from 1 species
GAUGAACGCUGGCGGCGUGCCUAAUACAUGCAAGUCGAGCGAACAGACGAGGAGCUUGCUCCUCUGACGUUAGCGGCGGACGGGUGAGUAACACGUGGAUAACCUACCUAUAAGACUGGGAUAACUUCGGGAAACCGGAGCUAAUACCGGAUAAUAUAUUGAACCGCAUGGUUCAAUAGUGAAAGACGGUUUUGCUGUCACUUAUAGAUGGAUCCGCGCCGCAUUAGCUAGUUGGUAAGGUAACGGCUUACCAAGGCAACGAUGCGUAGCCGACCUGAGAGGGUGAUCGGCCACACUGGAACUGAGACACGGUCCAGACUCCUACGGGAGGCAGCAGUAGGGAAUCUUCCGCAAUGGGCGAAAGCCUGACGGAGCAACGCCGCGUGAGUGAUGAAGGUCUUCGGAUCGUAAAACUCUGUUAUUAGGGAAGAACAAAUGUGUAAGUAACUAUGCGCGUCUUGACGGUACCUAAUCAGAAAGCCACGGCUAACUACGUG